rfam:Bacteroides eggerthii 1_2_48FAA genomic scaffold supercont1.5, whole genome shotgun sequence.
GGGGUUGACUGGAUUUGACAGCGGGCAGAAAUGGUAAGUAAGCAUGCAGUGCGUCGUUGAUUUGCACUUAAAUCUCAGUCUUCAAAAUUUUAUCUGGCGAAAGACAAUUUGCUCUUGCUGCUUAAUCGAAUCAUAGUAGAUUAGCUUAAUCCCGAUACAAGGUGUUGGGACGAGACAUCACUCGGAAGCUGUUGCUCCGAAGCGUUCCGGUAAAGUGGUGCAGUUACAUCGGGGAUAGUUCGUACUUGCCUCGGAGUGCGAAUGAAACUUUAGAGGAUAAGGUAACGGUUGAUGGCUUUGGUUCUGCCGUUACACGAAAACUUAGGCAAAGAUAAGCAUGUAGAAAGCUUAUGAUUUCCUCGUUUGGACGAGGGUUCGAUUCCCUCCAGCUCCACAG